rnacentral:rRNA from 1 species
UACAGAGGUCUCGAGCGUUGUUCGGAUUCAUUGGGCGUAAAGGGCGCGUAGGCGGCGGGGUAAGUCUGGUGUGAAAUCUAGGAGCUCAACUCCUAAACUGCACUGGAUACUGCUCUGCUAGAGGACUGGAGAGGAGACUGGAAUUCACGGUGUAGCAGUGAAAUGCGUAGAUAUCGUGAGGAAGACCAGUGGCGAAGGCGGGUCUCUGGACAGUUCCUGACGCUGAGGCACGAAGGCCAGGGGAGCAAACGGG